UUAUUGUUAUUUAUACACACAUAUAUUCUAUUGUUAUAAUAUUAAAUUUAAUGUUGAAGCAAAUUUAUGUGUUUUAGGUUCAACUCUUAGAGACCAAAAUGCUUAAGAUCAAUCGAGGCAGGCCGAAUCAUAUAAUGCUAAACGUGCUAAAAUCUGGGAAGGUCCUGUUAAUCUAAAGAGUGCCUAGUUUCAAGUUUCAACUUCAACACUUGCAGGGACAUGUUAAAUUAUAAGGCAGCAAAAUGCGGAGCUGCCAUUACAACAGACUAUACUUAUGUCAAAGUCAUCAAGAUGUUACUCUGCUACUGCUAAUAGGGAAAAGAACCGGGCAUAAUAAGUAUCGUCAUAAGACUACUUAAGCAGCUUGUUGCUUCAAAUUUGGGAGUGGUUGCCAAAGGAAGAUGAUUUGCAGUUGAAAUAAUUGGGAUUACUAUGAGUUUGAUCAUAAGUCUACUCAAGUUGCAAAAUCAAUUAGUUUUGAAUGUUGCAUGUUCUAAACAGUUGAAAGUAUUAUUCUAGUUUAUGUUUUGUAUGUAUUGGAAAGCACAUGACACAUCCAAUUAUUGAUUAUAAAUGGACUAUAAGCAAGUAUAUGUUUAAUACAAUGGACUAUAUAGUUUGUGUUCA